rnacentral:tRNA from 1 species
GUCUCAGUUGCACAGUGGUUAAUGCACAGCCCUGGAAAGGAUGAGACGUGGGUUCGAUUCCUGCCUGAGAUG